rnacentral:rRNA from 1 species
GAUGAACGCUGGCGGCGUGCCUAAUACAUGCAAGUCGAGCGAACAGACGAGGAGCUUGCUCCUCUGACGUUAGCGGCGGACGGGUGAGUAACACGUGGAUAACCUACCUAUAAGACUGGGAUAACUUCGGGAAACCGGAGCUAAUACCGGAUAAUAUAUUGAACCGCAUGGUUCAAUAGUGAAAGACGGUUUUGCUGUCACUUAUAGAUGGAUCCGCGCCGCAUUAGCUAGUUGGUAAGGUAACGGCUUACCAAGGCAACGAUGCGUAGCCGACCUGAGAGGGUGGUCGGCCACACUGGAACUGAGACACGGUCCAGACUCCUACGGGAGGCAGCAGUAGGGAAUCUUCCGCAAUGGGCGAAAGCCUGACGGAGCAGCGCCGCGUGAGUGAUGAAGGUCUUCGGAUCGUAAAACUCUGUUAUUAGGGAAGAACAAAUGUGUAAGUAACUAUGCACGUCUUGACGGUACCUAAUCAGAAAGCCACGGCUAACUACGUG